AGAGAAGAGGUAUGUUGUAUUGUAUAAAGCAAUGUACGUUUUAAUCUGUUUUUCUUUUUAGAUAUAGGAGCAACCUUUUUGAAGUUGGCUUGUGGCAAUUUAGUCAUUGAAACCAUAGUGGGAUAUGAAGUAGUUGACAGAUGAACCAUCUUCUCACCAAAAAUGACCAGUAGUUGUAGCUGAAGUCCCCAAUACUUAAAGGACCAGUGAGUUGGUACAUGUGUUGGAAGACUACGUGUG
rnacentral:lncRNA from 1 species